rnacentral:rRNA from 1 species
AUUGAACGCUGGCGGCAGGCCUAACACAUGCAAGUCGAACGAGUGGCGGACGGGUGAGUAAUGUCUGGGAAACUGCCUGAUGGAGGGGGAUAACUACUGGAAACGGUAGCUAAUACCGCAUACCAUCGGAUGUGCCCAGAUGGGAUUAGCUAGUAGGUGGGGUAAAGGCUCACCUAGGCGACGAUCCCUAGCUGGUCUGAGAGGAUGACCAGACACACUGGAACUGCGACACGGUCCAGGCGCCUACGGUAGGCAGAAGUGGGGAAUAUUGCACAAGGGGCGCAAGCCUGAUGCAGCCAUGCCGCGUGUAUGAAGAAGGCCUUCGGGUUGUAAAGUACUUUCAGCGGGGAGGCGUUACCCGCAGAAGAAGCACCGGCUAACUCCGUGCCAGCAGCCGCGGUAAUAC